AUUAAAUUUUAUUUAUUAAUAAUUAUUGUUUAUUAAAUUAAAUAUUAAAAAUAAUUAUAUAUUUAUAUGUUUUAGUAUUAUAUAAAGAAAAAAUAAUAUUAAUAAUAGUUUAAUAGUAUUGUAUAAGAAAAUUGAAAUAUAUUGAAAA
rnacentral:rRNA from 3 species